rnacentral:rRNA from 1 species
AUAUCAGUAAGCAGAGGAAAAGAAAUUAACUAAGAUUGCCUUAGUACCGGCGAGGGAACUGGCAAAAGCUCAAACUUAAAAUCUGUAGACUUCGUCUACCGAAUUGUAAUCUAAAGGGUGUGUCUAAAGGCUGGAUUGUAGUAUAAGUUUCCUGGAACGGAGCACCAAAGAGGGUGAAAGUCCCGUAUUUGGCUACAAGAAAGUCGAAGACUAGCCUCGUAGAGUCGGGUUGUUUGGGAUUGCAGCCCUAAAUGGGAGAUAAACUUCUUCUAAGGCUAAAUAUCUAUGGGAGACCGAUAGCGCACAAGUA